rnacentral:misc_RNA from 1 species
GAUGAAGAACGUAGCGAAAUGCGAUAAGUAGUGUGAAUUGCAGAAGUACCGUGAAUCAUCGAAUCUUUGAACGCAAAUUGCACUCUCUGGUAUUCCGGGGAGUAUGCCUGUUUGAGGGUCGCUUAACAAACCAUCGAUUUCGUUGCUUUUUUUUUUAAAAAGUGAUGUUUAUCGGAUUUGAGCCGUCUUUUUUUUUUAUAUUUAAGUGGCUUAAAAUUGAUUUUUUUGGUACGAUCGAAGCGUAUUUUUAUGAUCAAUUUUUGGUUAAAGAAACGCACACGUACCGUUAUUUAUAUGAUGUAAUACGUUUGACUAUUGGAUUUUAGUCCAUUCGUAUACGAUAUCUUUCAAUAUUUGACCUCAAAUCAGGUAAGAACACCCGCUGAACUUAAGCAUAUCAAUAAGCGGAGG